UGUAAAUGAGGAGAACACCGGACGCGUUCACACUUGUUCAAUUUUGGAACAUUGCGCGUUUAUAUUUUGAAUGCCUGUGUUCAGAAAAGGAGUUCUAUUUACGAGUUGAACACUUAUCAUUUGAACGUCAGUGUUCAAUGGUAGUCCUUCUGACUAGACAACAUGAAAGAUUUUGAGUGUUUGACUACUUGGGAUAGCGAGUAAGUAGUGUUGUUUCAAGCAGUGAUGAAAGAUUUGAACUAUAGACUGUAGAUCUACAGAAACUGUUCCAGACUUCCAUACAGAUCUUUGAGGAUAGUGAAGAAUAUGAUUUUCCUGCUAAAUUGGAGACAAAUGAAAACACCCCGCACAAACUGAUGACAUACAUUACAGAGGGGAGCAACUGUCCUUUGGUGUUUCGACAUAGAAUAUUGAUUAUUGUUUAUGUACUCUCGCAGCAGUUUGUAUUUGCGAAGAAAUUUAGGAAAUUAUCCUUAAUUCAUGUGUUAUGUUAAGAAGACUGCAUUCACGCACACAAGAAUAUAACACAUAAAAAUACAACAUGUAAUAACAAUACGUGAAACAAUGCUAGGAUAUUGAGAGACAGGUUAUGUUGCUGUGUGAUUACUCGUAUUUUUGUGGUCUGAAAUGAAACGCAAGAUUCAUGUUAUCAUGUACAAACAAGUUACUGAAAGAACUUUGUAAAACAGUAUUUAAUUUUUUACAUUUUGAUCAUAAUUGUUAAUCUUAAAAUCUUUUCAUUUUUUACUUUACAACUGCUUACCAGGCUUAGAGUUAGAAAAUAAUAAGAAAUUUUGGAUAACAUUAUUCAUUUUGUUAUUGUGAAUAACUAAAGAAUAAUUAAAAAAUCUCAAUAUGAUUCUUUGAUCUGUUGUUUUAUCAGGUGUUCAAAUGUUAACAUAAGUGUUCAUCAGUGUUCUAACUUUUAACAUAUCUAAUUUUGAACAUGUUCUAUGCGUUCAAUAUCUGUUGCAUCGAAAUUGAACGCGUCUGGCAUUUAAAAGUAGAACACCUGAGUGUUCAUAACAUGUUCUAUAAUGGAAUGGUUUGGUGUUAAGAUUUUAACGUCAACGUUAAAAUUUGAACCCUAGAUGUUCAUAAGGCGCUAGUAUAUGAACGGUUGGAGUCAAUAGUUGAACACUAGUAUUAAGAAAUGGAACGCGUCUUGGCGUUCAAUAUCUGUUGCAAAUAGGCGUUCAAGAUGUGUUCUAUUCUUGAACAUU